rnacentral:lncRNA from 1 species
GGGUCCUUGAAAUUCACAAGGCCUUUACUCAAGCUAGUCACUUACCUCGCCUGCCUGCGCUCAGGGGUGGGCGGAGCCUCCCGACCCACGUUGCUCCCCCGUGUUCCCAGCCACCUUGCAGCGCAGACCGUGAAGAGACUCAAAAGGGAACUUCCGGGGAGAGGUCCCAACAGAAGGGUCUGUCGCUGAAACCGAGCUCAAAUUACUGGGCUCAGAGGAAAGAACCAUAGGCUCUGCUGGCUGGAAGGAACCCCAGAGGUUCAUCGAUGGCAAGCUCCAGUCUCUAAAUUCAGCUCACUCCAGAAAUAACAGCCUCUACCCACUCCCAAGCGUGGGAAGAGAUCAGGAACAGCAUUUCUGAAACUUCAAGGUACAUACGAAUCUCCCAGGGAUCUUGUCAAACAGAUCCUGAGUCCGUAGGUCUGUCGGGGCAAGGGGGAGGUGGGGUGGGGGUUCUGCCUCUCUAACAAUCUCCCAGGUGAUGCACGGAUGCUGGUGGCUCCACAGAAACACUG